ACUUUCAAAGGAUCACAGCAUAAUCCA
rnacentral:tRNA from 1 species